rnacentral:lncRNA from 1 species
UCAGCGCCGGCCACCGUCGCCGAACGCCGCUGGACGCCAGUCCCCGACGUCGCUCGAGCCUCGACGCCCGCAUUCGCGAAUCGCCAGAAGCUGACCGACCUUGACCGACGUCCCUGCUCGUGACCGGCCGUUGCCCCGAAGACCCUGACCGACGUCCCUGCUCGUGACCCACGCCGCUCGCGCCAGAAGCCCCGACGCCCCUGCUGCUGCAACGAACCAGAAGCCACUGCUUCGCCAUUCCCGUUCGGCACCAGGUUCCCUCUCUCUCUCUCUCUCUCUCUCUCUCUCUCUCUCUCUCUCUCUCUCUCUCUGUGCAACUGAGCAUGCGUUCGUGAUUGCGCUUCAGUUCCGGCUCGCGCGCACUGCUUGGUGGGACCGAUUGUUUCGUAAUCGAUUGCAAGUGGGUGUUUAUCUGAUUGCCGAAACGCUUCGGGUGCUUGCGGAAUUUCUGGGUUCUACCUCCGCGGGGCUUGGUUUGCGCUUUGUAAUGGAACUUGUUGCAUGACUCAUUUUGGGCUUUUUUCCUUAUUGGAAGCUGAAAGUCCGUAUAUGCGUUGUGGGUUCUUCUGGAAAAGAGAAAUUGGUUUAGUUGGUGAAGUGUUGACGCUUUCUCUGUGAGAGUCUCGCGCGUCCGGGUUGACUGCUUGGUGGGACCGAUUAUUUUGUAAUUGAUUUCAACUGGGGUGUUUAUCUGAUUACUGAAACGCUUCGGAUAGUUGCAGAAAUUUCGAGGGUCUGCCUCCGCGGGGCUCGUUCGUGCUUCCCGUUCUGCGUGUAAUGGAGCUUGUUGCAUGACCCCUUUUGGGCUUUUUUCCUUACUUGAAGCUGAAACUUCGUUUUGGGUUGUGGGUUCUUCGGGAAAAGAGAAAUUGGUUUAGUCGGUGAAGUGUUGAAGCUUUCUCUUUCUCUGCAAGAGUCGUGCGCUUCUGGGUUGAGAUUAAUGAUGCUUCCCUUAUUGAACUUUGAAAUCCGAGUCUCGCAUUCCAUUGUUGUAUUGUUUAUCUGAUUACCGAAAUGCUUCAGGUACUUGCAGAAAUUUGAGGGUCUGCCUCUGCCAGGCUGGUUUUGCGCUUCCUUUUCCGCAUGUAAUGGAACUUGCUGAAUGACCCCUUUUGGGCUUUCCUUAUUCGAAGCUGAAACUUUUUUUGCUUUGUGGGUUCUUUGGGAAAAGAAAAGUUGGUUUG